rnacentral:hammerhead_ribozyme from 1 species
GUCCAGCUGACGAGUCCGAAAUAGGACGAAACUCUGGUCUUGGAU